GAUGAACGCUGGCGGCGUGCCUAAUACAUGCAAGUCGAGCGAACAGACGAGGAGCUUGCUCCUCUGACGUUAGCGGCGGACGGGUGAGUAACACGUGGAUAACCUACCUAUAAGACUGGGAUAACUUCGGGAAACCGGAGCUAAUACCGGAUAAUAUAUUGAACCGCAUGGUUCAAUAGUGAAAGACGGUUUUGCUGUCACUUAUAGAUGGAUCCGCGCCGCAUUAGCUAGUUGGUAAGGUAACGGCUUACCAAGGCAACGAUGCGUAGCCGACCUGAGAGGGUGAUCGGCCACACUGGAACUGAGACACGGUCCAGACUCCUACGGGAGGCAGCAGUAGGGAAUCUUCCGCAAUGGGCGAAAGCCUGACGGACCAACGCCGCGUGAGUGAUGAAGGUCUUCGGAUCGUAAAACUCUGUUAUUAGGGAAGAACAAAUGUGUAAGUAACUAUGCACGUCUUGACGGUACCUAAUCAGAAAGCCGCGGCUAACUACGUG
rnacentral:rRNA from 1 species